UUUAGGCCUGCUCGUGAGAUUUCUUUUAAAUAUUAAUUGUGAAUUAUUGUGGAAAUACAUAGUUGUAAUCAAAAUAACCGAAGUUGAAAUAAAGUAUCCGUCUUUCCAGGUGACCGUUGUUUAUUGCAGAUUACUUUUAAAUGUUUCGGGAUUCAUAUUGUAUUAGAACUUGUACAGAAAUAAACAUUUUUUUUUCUUCCUAAACCCAUCAAUUUAUUUUUUUUUUAAAUGGCCGCCUCCGGUCAAGACGGUGUUUUUCAGUAGAUUAAUGAUUUUCGCGAUUCAACGACUUUCCAGCAUGUCAAUACAACGCGAGAUUGUCAGCGUUCGUCUAAGGAUAUCUGCUUGCCAGUUGACUCAAUAGCCUGCAAUGGCGACUUUGUCUGCGUUUUCACGUCGCAAACAGUGAGCAGUGAUUGUUAUGAAGUCCAUCACCAUUACCCAAUACAAACUACAUAUAUGUAACAACUGUGUCAAUUUGGUCUGUUCACAGGUGUCUACUUUUCGUGAUAAUGUAUUCAGCCAAUGGCAUGCAUUAAUUUUUUCUCAACCCAACAAUUUAACAGAAUUCUUGGCAAAAUUUAACGAUAUUCAAUGUAAUGCUCCAGGUGGACAUGUUAUGACCGUGUCCAAUUUUCGUGCAGUCCGUGUACGUACAGCUUGAUAUCACACAUCGCUUGUCAAACACUAUUGAUUUUUUUUUAGUGUUCCAAUUAUAGAAUGUUCGCUAUGAUAAAGUAUUUAGUGCAAAAGUCAUGACAUUCAAAAAUUAUAGUCGGAUAUUUUACAUUAAAUACCAUGAAUUAUUUUUGUGGUCAUAAUAAUAUAUAUGAACCUUUGUCCAAAAAAUAAAGAAUGUGCUACACGGGCAGAUGAAAACAACCCAUGGUCUCGCGCGGAAAUGAGCGAAAUGAAAGAGACGUAUCCGGUAGUUAGUAUUUAUCCGGAAUGCUAGUGCGCAAUGGCGGCAAUAAACAAACGAAGCGGAUACGUUGAAGGAAAAACUUCUUUAUUUAUUUCUUACCGUUAUGUAGACCAGUGAAAAUAAUGUACAACGAUUAAUCGCAUAAAUCCCAUGAAGAAUAGAAAACUGAAAGUAGGGCAAACAUAGAUCCCUGGACAUAUCAGAGGUGAGAUCAGUUUAUUUCAGGAAACAAAGCCUGUCUGAAACUCCAAAAUGACAUUUCCAGAAAGCUGAAGAAUGGAUAAAAAUGUAUCUACCAUCUUACAACCCAGAUUUCAUUCCACUGAAAAGAAAAGGGACAGGAAAUUUUGCAUGUCCAUGUCUUGGAAGGUGAAUAGGUGAAAAGUCAAUAGAUGCUUACCAUAUCAGAUGCUUGCAGAGGAUACUGGGGAUAAAGUAGCAGAAAAUUAUGGAAAACAGGAAGUGGCAGCCAGGACUGACAUCAAUGCAAUAAACAAUGAGCUGAGGAGACGGUGAUGGAACUAUAUAGGACACGUGCUAUGGAGGGGAGGUGACAAUGACAGUGAGAUGGCGUUGGGUUGGACACCAGAAGGGAAGAGGGCAUUUAAGAGACUGAAAACAACCUGGAGAGGAACAGUAGAAGCAGAAAGAAAGAUUGCAGAAUGGAGAAACUUGAAUGAGAUCAAGAUGGUAGCAAUAGAACAGAGUGGAUUGGAGAGAGUCUCGGUCCUAUGUGUUUUUGGCAUGGAGAGAACUAAGUAAUGUCUAGAUUGUUGGAGAUAGGAUGACCAGGAAUAUGAAUGGAUGUGCUGGAAACUGUACUAAGACCCUUAUGUAUUUGGAUAGAUUUACAUACCAUCAUGAUUUUGCUAUGAAAAACUUGAAAAAAAUCCUCAACUCAUAUUGUAGCUGACAUUGUACAUUUGUACUUAUUAAUAUUUCAAAUGAACAUAUUUUUAGACAUACAAUAUCUAAACUUUGGAGUCCAUAUACAUCUCCACAUUGGAUAAUAGGUUAUGAUGUAUGUGUGUGAAAUCUUUUCCUAUGGUAUGCACAUGUUAACACAUUAGUUUAAAUGAUGAUGUAUAUCUUAUGACUAUGGAAGAGAUUGUGUUCAGAACAGAAUAUGUGUCUAGAAGAGUUGUUGCCCUUGAAUGUAAUUCAUUAUUUACAUGGGGUUGAAAAAUAAUCCAGCACACAGUAGUACUAAAUGCAUUAUGUUAAAAUACAUUUAUGAAGGGUAUAAGUGAUACUGUCCAUUACUGAUUAAUACACUUUGUGAAAUCAUAUUGUUAUGUUUAAUAAAUUUCAAGGCUG